rnacentral:misc_RNA from 1 species
UCCAAGAAGCUGAAAUUCCCUGAUCAAACAGUUAGAAAUAACAUGGAUUAUCACAAAUGAAUUUCAGUUGGAAGAAAAUUGAUCUUUUCCUUUGCUUUUGUGAUUUGAAUAUUGAUCUCUGUAUACAUUUGACAGCAGCGCUGGCUCAUAUGCUGAAAAUUUGUAUGUACAGAAAAAAUUUCAUUGGAGAACCAAAUAAUUGAAUAGUAGACGAGUUAAAAAGAACAAACUGAAAAAUACCUCCAGCACAAUCAAGCAGCUUACACAUUAUCAGAGGCAGUAACAUCUUCCUUCACAUUAUAAUGUACUCAAAAGCAAAAUCAUGUUUGGUAACAGAGUUUAAAACAAAUCACGUUGUAGAAUUCAAUUCAAUUCUGUCAAGAGUCCAUGAAUUCACAUGUAUGGAAUUAUUGUUCUUAUAAUAAUAAAAUUCAAUUAAAUUUGAGCGUUUGAAAUUAUUGAAAGGUGAAUUGAAGUUAUGUAAUUUAAUUAUCUUUUUGGUUUUAAAGAAUGGCCACACCAUCGCCGCUAAGUGAAUGUUUACUCACUUUGAAUUUCAAUUGUUGAAAAAUGCAUACCACUCAACAGAAUUUCCAAACAUGAAAAUUGAGCAAAUAGAAUUGAACUCUUUUAGGAAUUGAUGCCCACAUUUGGACUUGCAAUUUUGGAGUAAGAUGGGCUGGAAAACCAGGAUAGACUACAAAAUGCAAACCAGAACAACUUGCUUCAUUUAGAAAACCAAUAGCGCCUAAAUCAAAUUUAGGCAAAAGUUUCAGGCAGCAUAAUUUUUACAAGAAACGGGACAUUCACUCUAGAGAAGCAUGCAAAUGAUCCUGCAAUAACAAAUUACAAAAUAAGUUGCAAAUACCUGAUUGAUGGAAUGCUGCAGAUCCUACAAUCCUUGUUUGUCCCAACUCACAUGGAAUUCUGAUUGCUGGGUUGCUGCAGAGCCUUCAUUAAUUUAUCUUUUAAGCAACGGUCUCGCAGUAG